UGGGGAAUAUUGGACAAUGGGGGCAACCCUGAUCCAGCGAUGCCGCGUGUGUGAAGAAGGCCUGCGGGUUGUAAAGCACUUUAGUUGGAGAGGAAAGGUAGGGCAGUAGACUACUGUGACGUUAUCCAAAGAAUAAGCACCGGCAAACUCUGUGCCAGCAGCCGCGGUAAUACAGAGGGUGCGAGCGUUAAUCGGAAUUAUUGGGCGUAAAGGGCGCGUAGGUGGUAGAUUAAGUUGGAUGUGAAAGACUGGAGCUUAACUUCGGGAUGUCAUUCGAUACUGGUUUACUAGAGUACAGUAGAGGGUAGUGGAAUUUCCAGUGUAGCGGUGAAAUGCGUAGAGAUUGGAAAGAACACCGGUGGCGAAGGCGGCUACCUGGACUGAUACUGACACUGAGGCGCGAAAGCGUGGGGAGCGAACAGG
rnacentral:rRNA from 1 species